rnacentral:rRNA from 1 species
AGUGAACGCUGGCGGUAGGCCUAACACAUGCAAGUCGAACGGCAGCACAGUAAGAGCUUGCUCUUACGGGUGUCGAGUGGCGGACGGGUGAGGAAUACAUCGGAAUCUACUUUUUCGUGGGGGAUAACGUAGGGAAACUUACGCUAAUACCGCAUACGACCUACGGGUGAAAGCAGGGGAUCUUCGGACCUUGCGCGAUUGAAUGAGCCGAUGUCGGAUUAGCUAGUUGGCGGGGUAAAGGCCCACCAAGGCGACGAUCCGUAGCUGGUCUGAGAGGAUGAUCAGCCACACUGAAACUGAGACACGGUCCAGACUCCUACGGGAGGCAGCAGUGGGGAAUAUUGGACAAUGGGCGCAAGCCUGAUCCAGCCAUACCGCGUGGGUGAAGAAGGCCUUCGGGUUGUAAAGCCCUUUUGUUGGGAAAGAAAAGCAGCAGGUUAAUACCCCGCUGUUCUGACGGUACCCAAAGAAUAAGCACCGGCUAACUUCGUG